GCGGCAUUGACCGAAUGGUGAGGUACCUGUCUUCCAAGCAGAGGAACAGGGUUCGAUUCCCUGAUGCCGCUCCA
rnacentral:tRNA from 1 species